rnacentral:misc_RNA from 1 species
GGACAAAGGCUGUAGAUGCACUGAAAAGGAUGGAGAACUGGAACCUGUUUAGUGAAUCUUAUGAGGACUACAAAAAUUAUACAGUUGCUCGUGACACUUUCCUUGCACAUUUGGGGGCAACCUUAUGGGGGUCAAUGAGACACAUCAUUUCUCCAUCACUUGCUGAUGGGGCAUUCCACUACUAUGAGAAAAUCUCUUUUCAGUUAUUCUUUAUCACACAGGAGAAAUUUAGAAAUAUUAAGCAGUUACCUGUUGACCUCAAAACUAUCAUGAA